AGUGAACGCUGGCGGUAGGCCUAACACAUGCAAGUCGAACGGCAGCACAGUAAGAGCUUGCUCUUACGGGUGGCGAGUGGCGGACGGGUGAGGAAUACAUCGGAAUCUACUUUUUCGUGGGGGAUAACGUAGGGAAACUUACGCUAAUACCGCAUACGACCUACGGGUGAAAGCAGGGGAUCUUCGGACCUUGCGCGAUUGAAUGAGCCGAUGUCGGAUUAGCUAGUUUGCGGGGUAAAGGCGCACCAAGGCGACGAUCCGUAGCUGGUCUGAGAGGAUGAUCCGCCACACUGUAACUGAGACACGGUCCAGACUCCUACGGGAGGCAGCAGUGGGGAAUAUUGGACAAUGGGCGCAAGCCUGAUCCAGCCAUACCGCGUGGGUGAAGAAGGCCUUCGGGUUGUAAAGCCCUUUUGUUGGGAAAGAAAAGCAGCACGUUAAUCCCCCGCUGUUCUGACGGUACCCAAAGAAUAAGCACCGGCUAACUUCGUG
rnacentral:rRNA from 1 species